rnacentral:ncRNA from 1 species
AUAAAGUUUUAUUUUAGUUAAAAAAUUUAUUUUAUUUUAAUUUUAUAUGUAAAUGUAUGUAAGAAUUUAUAAUUUUCUUAAGGAAAAUUAUAAUAUUUUAUUCGCAGUAUUUUAUUUUAUAUAUUAAAGAAAUUUAGAUUUAGUUAUAGAAAUUAGUAUGGGUUAAUUUUGUGCCAGCAUCCGCGGUUAUACAAAAUAUACAAAUAAAUUUUAUUAUUUAUAGUUAAAUUGAUUUUUUAAAGUAAAAAUAUAUUAAUAAGGUGAAAUUUAUUAUAUUAUUUAAUUUAUAAAUUAGUUAAUUGAAGCUAGUAAAUUUUUAUAUUAAACUAGGAUUAGAUACCCUAUUAUUGAAAAUGUAAAUUUAAUUGAAUUAGGUAGUAAGAGGUAUAGACUUGAAACUUAAAAAAUUUGGCGGUGUUUUAAUCUAUUUAGAGGAACCUGUUCCGUAAUCGAUAGCCCACGAUAAAUUUUACAUAAUUUUAUUUAGUUUAUAUAUCGUCGUUAUAAGAAGAUUUUAUAAGAAAAAUAAUUUUCUAAUAUUUUUAUUUGAAUAUAUUUCAGAUCAAGGUGUAGCUAAUAAUUAUGAGGAAAUGGGUUACAAUAAUUUUAUUUAUAAUGGAAUAUAAAAUGAAUAUUUUGUAUGAAGGUGGAUUUAAUAGUAAAAUAAUUUAUAUAUUUUGUUUGAUUAUAGUUCUAAAAUAUGCACAUAUCGCCCGUCACUCUCUUUAUUUAAAAAGAGAUAAGUCGUAACAAAGUAGGUGUACUGGAAAGUGUACCUAGAAUGAUCAA